rnacentral:rRNA from 1 species
UACGGAAGGCAGCAGUGGGGAAUAUUGCACAAUGGGCGCAAGCCUGAUGCAGCCAUGCCGCGUGUAUGAAGAAGGCCUUCGGGUUGUAAAGUACUUUCAGUCGUGAGGAAGGUGUUAAGGUUAAUAACCUUAGCAAUUGACGUUAGCGACAGAAGAAGCACCGGCUAACUCCGUGCCAGCAGCCGCGGUAAUACGGAGGGUGCGAGCGUUAAUCGGAAUUACUGGGCGUAAAGGGCACGCAGGCGGUUAAUUAAGUUGGAUGUGAAAUCCCCGGGCUUAACCUGGGAAUGGCAUUCAAGACUGGUUAGCUAGAGUCUUGUAGAGGGGGUAGAAUUCCAUGUGUAGCGGUGAAAUGCGUAGAGAUGUGGAGGAAUACCGGUGGGCGAAGGGCGGGCCCCUGGGACAAAGGACUGACGCUCAUGUGCGAAAGCGUGGGGAGCAAACAGGGAUUAGAUACC